UUUCCGGUUGAUCCUGCCGGACCUGACUGCUAUCGGAUUGAUACUAAGCCAUGCGAGUCUUUGUAGUAAUACAAGGCAUACGGCUCAGUAACACGUAGUCAACCUACCCUAUGGACGAGAAUAAUCUCGGGAAACUGAGCAUAAUUCUUGAUAGAUCAUAAUGCCUGGAAUGGUUUAUGGUUAAAAUGAUUCGUCGCCAUAGGAUGGGACUGCGGCCUAUCAGCUUGUUGGUGAGGUAAUGGCCCACCAAGGCGAUUACAGGUACGGGCUCUGAGAGGAGAAGCCCGGAGAUGGGUACUGAGACACGGACCCAGGCCCUAUGGGGCGCAGCAGGCGAGAAAACUUUGCAAUGUGCGUAAGCACGACAAGGUUAAUCCGAGUGAUUUCUGCUAAAGAAAUCUUUUGCCAGUCGUAAAAC
rnacentral:rRNA from 1 species